rnacentral:rRNA from 1 species
UACAGAGGUCUCAAGCGUUGUUCGGAUUCAUUGGGCGUAAAGGGCGCGUAGGCUGCGGGGUAAGUCGGGUGUGAAAUCUCAGGGCUCAACCCUGAAACUGCACUCGAUACUGCUCUGCUUGAGGACUGGAGAGGAGACUGGAAUUCCUGGUGUAGCAGUGAAAUGCGUAGAUAUCAGGAGGAAUACCGAUGGCGAAGGCAGGUCUCUGGGCUGACACUGACGCUCAUGCACGAAAGCGUGGGGAGCAAACAGG